ensembl:snRNA U2 U2 spliceosomal RNA
AUUGCUUCUCGGCCUUUUGGCUAAGAUCAAGUGUAGUAUCUGUUCUUAUCAGUUUAAUAUCUGAUACGUCCCCAACCGGGGACCAUAUAUUAAAUAGAUUUUUGGAACAGGGAGAUGGAAUAGGGGCUUGCUCCGUCCACUCCACGCAUCGACCUGGUAUUGCAGUAUCUCCAGGAACGGUGCACUCCCU